AAGAAAAACUAUUCAGAUUAUCACUUCAUAGAACAGUGAUAAUAAGUCAACUUUUAUUCGAAAAUAUUUAGAAGUAAUAUUCGCUGUCCAAGAAUAAGUUUUUUUCUGGAAAAAAACUUAUUGAGAGUAAAUAAUGAGUCACAUAUAAAAUAAUAAUAGAUCGACAUGUUGCCUAAAUGAUGGCCUAUAAUUCAUUAAGCGGAGACGGUAGUUGUUUUCUUCAAGCUGCACGUGCAAGCAAACAGUUGUCGUGGCGCUGUUGCGUAAUAUAAUUGGAGUUUGUUCUCAGCCUGUUUCUUAUUUAUUUUCAUUCUCACUAUGUACUAUGUUUCCUAAAGCGCAGUUUCCUUUUGUGAUGGCGAGAGAAAACUUUGAAGGAUCGAGAAUAACAUCAAGAAUCUCAUUUGUCUGUCUGCCAUAGUUGUGUUCUGUGGAAAGAAUUUGAAAUUCGUCUUGCUUCUCACAAACUAGAAAAAAUGGCAUCUACAAAUCAGUGGUGUGUUCCGGAUGAAAUGAACGAUGUUUUAUCUGUUGAGUUUGAUCGCAGUCUAUCUGAAAUGGAAAUGGAUUUUCCUACAAAUACCACAAGCUCAUCUGUAUUUGCUGUGCCUGAGAUAAACUUAAGGAAAGAAGAAAUGAGUUAUGGGAAUUCUGAGAAGUGCCAAAUUGAAUGCAGUGUUGUGCAUGGUAAAAGGAUCAGAUACUCUCAGUUAACGGAUAUUGAUUGCAGUGUUAAGCGAAUCUGCUUCAAUAAAGAAGAAAUGGAGCGAACAGAAAAUUUACAAACAAGAUACCGCCAACAAAGUGCACCAGAGCAUCGCCAUUUUUAUUCUUCUGGAUCUGUUAUUAAUACCUUUCUGUCACAAGUUGUCAUGUCCCCUUUUCAUUGUGUUCUACUAGCUCCAACAGCUAUCUCUACUAAAAUCAAUGAAGAAACAUUAACAUAUUUAAAUCAAGGUCAGCCAUAUGAAGUGAAGAUAAGAAAAACGGGUUCCCAGUCCCUUGAUAAGAGUGUCAUUUUUAAGAGCAUCAUUCGAGUUGGAUUUCAAGAAAGGCGCUUACAGUAUAUGGAAAGGGAACAAAUUAAAGAAUGGCAGAGUCAAAGAUAUAGUGAAAGAAUUCUUGAAAUAGAUAUACCUCUUUCUUAUGGGAUUUUGGAAGCAACAAAUAAUCUAAAUAAUAUAAAUGAGUGUGAGUUUGUCUGGGACUCAAAUUACGAUGUGGGUGUCUUUAUAAAGUUGAACUGCAUUAGUAGUGAGUUCACAGCAAGAAAACAUGGAGGAGAGAAAGGUGUACCACUUCGAAUUUUAAUUGAAACUUAUUCUGAAGGUGAAAAAUUGCAUUCUGCUUCUUGUCAAAUCAAAGUCUUCAAGCCCAAAGGAGCUGAUAGAAAGCACAAAACUGACAAAGAAAAAAUAACUAAACGGUCUGACAAAGAAAAGUAUCAUCCACAGUUUGAGUACACAGUAUUUCGAGAUCUCGCAUUGUCUGACGUUAUGCACUUAAAUGUGUCAUCAUGUGGAACAUCACUACAGAAUUCACCUUCCGACAAGAAAGAGUGUUGUGAUGUUUCUCAAGCUACAUCUACUACUGAAACUCUAAGAAGUCCUGAAAAUUUUUCUCAUAAUAUUACUAAUGAAUCUAGUGCUUCUGAGUGCAUCUUAUGGUUGCAAAAUAACAUGUUUCUUAAUUACUUGAAAGAUUUUGAGAAUUUCUCUGAGUACAAAUAUCAUUCGAAAAUUAAUGGGAAAGAAGAAUUGCGAGUGACUGUCUUCAAUUCGAACAAAUGUGCCAAUUCAAAAGCAUGUGGAAGGCAAAGAUCUUUUGUCUUUAACGCGUAGUGACUUGAUUGAUAUUUGUGGAACUGCAAAUGGUAUACGUCUCUUCAAUGCUCUUCAUAGAAAAGGAUAUUUGACUACGUAUGUACGAUUACCAUCACAAAAAGCUUAUAGUGCCAUUUAUUUAAAGUCAUCCAAGGUCCAUGAAUUAUUUACAAAAAUAAAAAUAUUUUGUGGUCUUCCAUCAGAUUGCAGUUGUGAGUUUUAU
rnacentral:misc_RNA from 1 species